AAUUUUCUUUGAUUCUCUCAAAAACUACUAAUAAGGUUCCAAUCUCGGUCCUUUAUGUUUUGCAUUGCUGGUCAAGCAGAACCACCCAAAAGAAACAAGAGCAUUUGUUUGUUCUAUAUUAUUGCUAGAUAAAGGAA